CUUCAGAUUUUGUUUAAAUAUAAGAACUGGAAAACCAAAGCUUUGUCAUCUCUAAAACACCUUCACUGAGAAACGAAGUGUCCUUCUCAUCCCAUGGGGCUGUUCUGGGUAUCAAGUGACUGUUUAGCUUGGCCAUUUGCUGCUCCUACCUCAAAUAGAAGGUUGGAAUGCACUGUUGCACACAUCCGAUUUCAAUUUACAAAACUGGAAUUAAACCGUAUGCAAUGUACCUUUUAAAACUUAACAUUAUACUAAGUAUAUUUUGACACAUAAUUACACAUCCUUUGAAACUGCAUAUAAUUCCACCAUAGAGGUGUAUCAUAAUUUAUGAUUGGACAUUUUGAUUAAAAGCCAGCAAUACAAA
rnacentral:lncRNA from 1 species